UUGUCUUGUCAUAUGUAUCAAUAUUGAAAAAGAAAUUAAAUAUAGAUAGUUGUCUCGUUUUAUGUUGAUGACCGACAAAAAAUUAUUUACUUGCAUUUCAUGAGUUAAAGUGCUAACUGAAUUUAACAUUUCAUAUCAAGGACGCUGUCAACCUUCAAUUCUUCUUGGCAUAGAAGUUGAUCGCACUCCUAAGGGCUUCUUUUAUUAGCAAAAUAAUAAACAUUCACCGAAUCUUUCUAAUGACUCUCGCCUUUUAGGUUCGAAACCUACUGCAACACCUAUGGUUGAAAAUCCUACGCUUCACAUAGUGAUUCUUCACCCCUGUACCGAAUAUACAAGUUAUAGAAGACUCAUUGGCCGCCUACUCUAUUUAACCACAACACGACCCGACAUAAGUUAUGUUGUACAACAACUAAGCCAAUACAUGAUUGAUCCUACUUUGAUUCACCAAAAGUCGAUACAUUAAACAAUCCCCAAAUCAAUGAUUUUUCUAUCCUUCCUCUUCUUCGUUGCAAUUGAAAGCAUUUAGUACUUGCAGCACCACAAGAAGAUCUGUGGCUGGUUUUUGCAUAUUUUUGAGUGGCUCUCUUGUCUCAUGGAAAUGGAAGAAACAAUCCACAGUUGCACACUCUUUGUCAGAGGCAGAAUAUCCUGCCAUUGCUUCCACUGUCUGUGAACUUCAAUGCCUAAAUUUCCUUCCAACACUAUCUAAAAUCAAUUUUGUUUUAGUAUUAAACAAUGAGUGUGACUAUGUGCUAUUUCACCAACAGGGAAUCCAUUUUCGAAAAAGCAAGCAAAAAAUUAAAACCAGGAGUGCUACAGAUCAUUACCUGUAUUAGUCCCCAUGCAGUUGGCAUGAAUGCCAUACAGCAAACAAAAAGGUCUGACACUGACAGUUCACAUAUGAUUGAAAGAGUAAUGAUGACGGCAAUAACAGCCACAAACAGGAUUGCUUUGAAAAAUCUGAAUCCAAGUUGAUGAUUAGCACUAAGUUGGUUCCUUCCUAUGUUGACAGCCUGCAUGAACAUGUUUAGCUUGUGUGAUUAACAUGCAAUAGUAUAGCAUAUACUUUUUUUUUCUCAGUUGUGUUAUUUGAACAACUAAAAUUUGACAAGUUUGUAAGUGGUUAACGCAGUUCAAAUAGUCGGUUAAUCAUGUUCAGAAGAUCACUAGUGAAUAUAUUGGAUAUCAAAAUUCAUUAACCAAGAAUUUGGACCCGAUUAACUACAAUUUCAAGUGUUCAAAUCUAAAAAUUAUAGGUAGCUACAUUCAAAUCUGUGAUUAAUGAAGUUACCUUGGUCGUUAAUGAGUUUUGAUACGUGGUAUAUCUUUUAAUCAUCUAUUGAACAUAAUUAACCAUUUCUUUGAACUGCCAUAACUACUUAAUAAGUUGUCGCAAAAGUUGUCUAAA